GUCUUUUAGUGCGCCUGCGGUUAUCUACUGGUUCAGUCGGGGAGGUGAACUAUUUCUGUCUUCGGUGUUCGUGUUGACAUAUUCAGUACUAACAGGCAAAAGUGCUUUCCUUCUGCGCGUUAGGAAAUGUGUCAAGGUUGCUAUCGGCUGAAACUGGUUUCACUAAAAAUUUGAGUUUUAUCAGCCUAUUAUCGUCAUAUAUGUUAAAAUCUACACUUGUAGAGCAAUAAGAGGUAUAAAAAUAGUCCACUUGGGCAUUCGACUAGCGAAUAGGUGCGGAAGCACUGAAGGAGGGCUCCCCCUUGAAUACCGAGAACUAGUUCGGGAUACAAAUUUUCGAUCCAUGUGCCAGUAUUACACAUUCCGGUUCCGUAAUGGUAACUGUUAUGUGGUGUAAACUAGUUACAGUUGAGUUAUUUUCAGAAUAUACGCCAGUUAGGGGUUUUUCCUUCGGUUAUAAAACACGAAAGGAUAAAUGGUGUACGUGCAUAACACAAAUUUUUUAUAUGCGAGGUCCAGCUGCAAGAACUGUAAUCUCUGUGAAAGGCUCUCUGCAACUUUAAGGAAGAGUCGUAAAAACUGAUUAUUGUAAUCUAAAACUUUAGUCUGUAGGUUGGAGUUGGUUUGGUUUUUGCUACGAAUGUUUACUGACUU